GAGAUGGUGCAGAGGCUAAGGAUGGAGGCAGUGCAGCAUAGCACGUCCACCGCGGCCCAUACGUCGCAGAAGGUCCGGCCGAAGGCCCAGAAGCCUAGAACCUCCAUAGUGGCUGAGAAGGGCAACACAGCUGCACUCAGUAGCAGGUCUCCUGCACCCCGGCUUUUGCCCCAGCGCUCCUCGCUGCCUCCCUUCCUCUCUCUGGACUUGCGGUCACUCUCUGCUUGCCCUUGCCCUAGCGGAGCAUACAAGGGCAACUGGCCAGCCCAAGAUCUCAAAACCCACUAUGGUGCGAUGGUGGCAUUGAGACAGCCCUGAAGGGGUCAAGAUGCUUGGGCGCGGGUUGAAGAUGGGCGUGACUGGCGUGAGACCAGAUGGUGUGGUCACAGCCCUAGGACUUUGCCCGUACUCUGAAUAAUACCAACUUUGGCCCUGCAACUCUACUCUGCAUCAGAAGUCAGAAUAAAUCUUCCUGUUGCUACUCGA
rnacentral:lncRNA from 1 species